rnacentral:rRNA from 1 species
AACGAACGCUGGCGGCAUGCCUAACACAUGCAAGUCGAACGAGACCUUCGGGUCUAGUGGCGCACGGGUGCGUAACGCGUGGGAACCUGCCCUUAGGUUCGGAAUAACUCCCCGAAAGGGGUGCUAAUACCGGAUAAUGUCUUCGGACCAAAGAUUUAUCGCCUUUGGAUGGGCCCGCGUUGGAUUAGCUAGUUGGUAGGGUAAAAGCCUACCAAGGCGACGAUCCAUAGCUGGUCUGAGAGGAUGAUCAGCCACACUGGGACUGAGACACGGCCCAGACUCCUUCGGGAGGGAGGAGUGGGGAAUAUUGGACAAGGGGGGAAAGCCUGAUACAGCAAUGCCGCGGGAGGGGUGAAGGCCUUAGGGUUGUAAAGCCCUUUUACCCGGGAUGAUAAUGACAGUACCGGGAGAAUAAGCUCCGGCUAACUCCGUG